UUGAGUAUACCUGCGUACGGGUGGCCGCUAUAGAACGAUGGGGUCGUUGGUGUCUUGGUUCUAUUAACACUUUUUUCUUUACGUCCUUUUUACGGUGUAGUACCUUGGGGUGUUUUGUUGUUGUUGUUACUGUUAUUUUUUAUCUCAUCUUGUGGCAUUUGCUUGAUAAGCAUACUCUGCAGCCAUCGAUGUUCACCAGAGGUUUCUUAUGCAUGCCCUGUUCUUUUCAUCUCUCUGCAUUUCUGGUGUCCUGGGGAACAAGCAACACAGUUCUAGUCUUUGUGUCUUUGGUAAGAUCCUUUGCGGUUUCCUUAUGUUUUAUUAGCUAUUUGUCGAAGCCCUGCUUGUUCUUAGAACUUAGUUCAGAUAUUCCUGCUACUGUAACUUCCUGGAUUCACUCCCACAAUGAACUCUUCCUUCCUCAGAACGCUGGUUUGUUGGCUUGUGCUUGGCUUCAUUUAUCUUGUUUUAUUCUGCUUGACAUUACUUGACUUGUUUGUGUCUCCCAUGCAAAUAGGGGCCGCCUUAUUAGAACUGUUACCGUGUUUUGAAUCUAAUAAUAAUAUUAAUAAUCACCAAAAGUGUGCACAUCUCUGAGGGGCUGGGCACUUUUGUAAGUGCCUUUUUAAAUUUUUAAAAAUUUUUUAAUGUCUUAGAAGGAACCCAACUUUUAUUUUACUGAGAAAAUAAUUUGAUCAGCACAGUGGCUAAAGUUUUUUUCUGAUAAAUCUGGAACAGACUUCUGGUAGGGGUGUUCACAGUAACUCACAGCUGUUAAUGCCUUUCUCUAUUUUCCCCCUGAGUGUCACACAGGGUAAUGCUUGGGAAAGUCCUUCAGAGCCCCAGGUGGCCCACGAUUUCACAGGUAAUUAGAAAAUUUG
rnacentral:lncRNA from 1 species